GACAGAGGAUGCAAGCGUUAUCCGGAAUGAUUGGGCGUAAAGCGUCUGUAGGUGGCUUUUUAAGUCCGCCGUCAAAUCCCAGGCUCAACUCCGGAUCUGCGGUGGGUACGGGCAGACUAGAGUGAUGUAGGGGAGACUGGAAUUCCUGGUGUAGCGGUGGAAUGCGCAGAUAUCAGGAGGAACACCAAUGGCGAAGGCAGAUCUCUGGGCCGACACUGACACUGAGAGACGAAAGCUAGGGGAGCGAAUGGG
rnacentral:rRNA from 1 species